CAGCCGUAAACAAUGUGCGUUAGGUGUGUCGGUAACCACGCGUUACUGAUGCGCCGAAGAGAAAUCGUGAAACGCACCACCUGGGAAGUACGGUCGCAAGGCUGAAACUUAAAGGAAUUGGCGGGGGGAGCACCACAACAGGUGGAGCCUGCGGUUUAAUUGGAUUCAACGCCGGACAUCUCACCGGAUAAGACAGCUGAAUGAUUGUCAAUCUGAAGGUUUUACAUGACUAGCUGAGAGGUGGUGCAUGGCGUCAGUGACU
rnacentral:rRNA from 1 species